GAGCGAACAGAUAAGGAGCUUGCUCCUUUGACGUUAGCGGCGGACGGGUGAGUAACACGUGGAUAACCUACCUAUAAGACUGGGAUAACUUCGGGAAACCGGAGCUAAUACCGGAUAACAUAUUGAACCGCAUGGUUCAAUAGUGAAAGGCGGCUUUGCUGUCACUUAUAGAUGGAUCCGCGCCGUAUUAGCUAGUUGGUAAGGUAACGGCUUACCAAGGCAACGAUACGUAGCCGACCUGAGAGGGUGAUCGGCCACACUGGAACUGAGACACGGUCCAGACUCCUACGGGAGGCAGCAGUAGGGAAUCUUCCGCAAUGGGCGAAAGCCUGACGGAGCAACGCCGCGUGAGUGAUGAAGGUCUUCGGAUCGUAAAACUCUGUUAUCAGGGAAGAACAAAUGUGUAAGUAACUGUGCACAUCUUGACGGUACCUGAUCAGAAAGCCACGGCUAACUACGUGCCAGCAGCCGCGGUAAUACGUAGGUGGCAAGCGUUAUCCGGAAUUAUUGGGCGUAAAGCGCGCGUAGGCGGUUUUUUAAGUCUGAUGUGAAAGCCCACGGCUCAACCGUGGAGGGUCAUUGGAAACUGGAAAACUUGAGUGCAGAAGAGGAAAGUGGAAUUCCAUGUGUAGCGGUGAAAUGCGCAGAGAUAUGGAGGAACACCAGUGGCGAAGGCGACUUUCUGGUCUGUAACUGACGCUGAUGUGCGAAAGCGUGGGGAUCAAACAGGAUUAGAUACCCUGGUAGUCCACGCCGUAAACGAUGAGUGCUAAGUGUUAGGGGGUUUCCGCCCCUUAGUGCUGC
rnacentral:rRNA from 1 species